rnacentral:rRNA from 1 species
AACACAUGCAAGUCGAGGGGCAGCAUGGUCUUAGCUUGCUAAGGCCGAUGGCGACCGGCGCACGGGUGAGUAACACGUAUCCAACCUGCCGUCUACUCUUGGACAGCCUUCUGAAAGGAAGAUUAAUACAAGAUGGCAUCAUGAGUCCGCAUGUUCACAUGAUUAAAGGUAUUCCGGUAGACGAUGGGGAUGCGUUCCAUUAGAUAGUAGGCGGGGUAACGGCCCACCUAGUCUUCGAUGGAUAGGGGUUCUGAGAGGAAGGUCCCCCACAUUGGAACUGAGACACGGUCCAAACUCCUACGGGAGGCAGCAGUGAGGAAUAUUGGUCAAUGGGCGAGAGCCUGAACCAGCCAAGUAGCGUGAAGGAUGACUGCCCUAUGGGUUGUAAACUUCUUUUAUAAAGGAAUAAAGUCGGGUAUGGAUACCCGUUUGCAUGUACUUUAUGAAUAAGGAUCGGCUAACUCCGUGCCAGCAGCCGCGGUAAUACGGAGGAUCCGAGCGUUAUCCGGAUUUAUUGGGUUUAAAGGGAGCGUAGAUGGAUAUUUAAGUCAGUUGUGAAAGUUUGCGGCUCAACCGUAAAAUUGCAGUUGAUACUGGAUAUCUUGAGUGCAGUUGAGGCAGGCGGGAUUCGUGGUGUAGCGGUGAAAUGCUUAGAUAUCACGAAGAACUCCGAUUGCGAAGGCAGCCUGCUAAGC